CCCCGCCCUGCGCCUCACCAUCCGCAGCCACUGAAGCACAGAGCUCCUUCUCAGUGGGAAGCACUCACCGCCAGCCCCACCUUUCCAGCUCGGCGCUCUCAUGCCCCAGCCCCGACCAUCUCUUGCCCCCUCCUUCCAAACGAACACAGCAAGGUGGGUGGUGUUCUGAGCUUCACUGCUUUCUGACCACAGAGGAGUGAACCCAGCUCCGGCCGGGGGGGUACGCAGAAUGGAGAAUGUGAGCUGCGGGGCUGAGCCUCUUCACAGACUCAGGAACUACAGACGGCAUUCUGUGGGAUCCCCACAGAGGCUCCUAAGUAGGUGUGUGAGCUGCAGUGUAGACAUUUAACACCAUCUCAAGACAGAAAACCAAGCCCGGUUUUCCAGCCCAGCUGGCAUUUCCCCUGCUGUGCUCAGAAACAGGGGCUGCAGCCAGACACCCACCGUGGGCAGAAGCUGGAAGGUAAAGUGACAUCCCAGAAAAGUGGGGGCCAAUCACAGGGGUGCCCCAAAAGUCACCCAUGGCAAGUGUGCAUCAUUUUGCAAACACUAAGGUGCGAUUUUCAAAGAAAAACAAGAGAGAAUGCAUCCAAAGAGAAACUGGAACCAAAUACGCCAAUUCCCCAGAACAAAUAGACGGUCAGGACCGAGCUGCCCAAGCGUGAGCGAGAUGAAACGAUGCCAUGGCAACCGCGCAAGCAGACGGCACCGAAGAGAAGGGAGAAGGAAGGGGGAUCUCAUAAGCCAAAGUGAGGCAAACAGCCCAACCCAGACCGCGUCAGCCACAAACAGGUGUGGCCUCCCGGUGGCUUCAUGCUGGAGAACAAAUGGCUGAGGACAUGAAUUCCACAAAAGCAACACUCCCAGAGGCGAGAAGCCAGAAGAAUGAGAUGAAAAGGGAGAUUUGGAACCUGAGGAAAGAAAUGUGGGACAGUCCAUCCUUGUGAACCUAACAGAUGAGAAGCAGCAAAGGACCUCACCUCCCUCACGGCUUUGCUCAAACAUCCCGUUCCCAGGAAGUCUUCCCGGCCACCCUCCCCAUCGUGGUUCACGCUCCUCACAGCCCUUGUGGACAUCUCGUGUGCUGGAUGCGCUGUUUAUUUUGCCAAUCCUCUCUCUAUCCCCACCACUUCCAAGAGGAGGCCUUGCCUGUCCUGCCAUGCUCUUGCCCCAAUACCAUCUUCGCCUGGCACCUGGCCAGCACUUGAUAAAUACUUAGUGAAAGACUAAAUGGAUGACUAGACACUGAUGAACGUGGAAUUACCGGUAUAGAGGAAAACCUUGAGAUAACCAUAGUGAUUGCAGUUGAAAAGAUAGAGAUAAAAGGGAAUUUGAGAACAGUUCCUAGACUUGGAGAAUGAGCACAACCCAAAGAAAACUGGCUUCCCUGAUUCAGAGCCCCUGAUACAUGCUGCAAAUGACGCAGUAAAUACAGCAGAUGAGAGAGAGUCUUGGAAAGGGAGGAGGCAUUGGAUCCAAAAUUAGAGCAAGCACUCCACAUUUCAGGAAAAUCUGCUAGAGUGCUCCACACAGAUUUCUUAGCAAAGUUAUGAAUUUCAAGGAAAAAGAAUCCUUCCAUCAUUUAGGAUAAACAAGAAAAACAUUUGCAAGGAGAACUGCCUGCCUCAGGCUCUGCACAGCAACCUUUGGUUCCUAAGGCCAUGAGGCACCAGGCUUUGAAGGAAAGAAACCAUGACUUGCAAAAUUAUUCACUUCCGGGAUGUCACUUAUUGUAUGGUAAAUAAACUGACCUGACAGAAAAACUUAGGGAGAACAUACCCACGAACCUUUUUGGGAAAAAAUAUAAAUAAGCUACAGUAAAAUCCAACUGACUAAAGAACUGCUGAAUGUCCAAUGCAUGUAAAGAUACAACUAGUGGCUGGGCAUGAUGGAUCACGUCUGUAAUCUCAACGUUUUGGGAGGCUGAGGCGGGUGGAGCACUUGAGGCCAGGAGAUCGAGACCAGCUUGGCCAACAUGGCAAAACCUCGUCUCUACUGAAAACACAAAAAUUAGCCUGGCGUGGUGGCGGGUGCCUGUAAUCCCAGCUACUCGGGAGGUUGAGGCAGGAGACGCUCUUGAACCCGGAAGGCAGAGGUUGUGGUGAGCUGAGAUCGCACCACUGCACUCCGGCCUGGGCCACAGAGCGAGACUUUGUCUUUAAAAAAACAAAAAAGAUACAACUAAUAACAAAUAAUUAUAGGAAUUGUGGUUACAAAAAAUAAUGCAAAUGUUUCAGACUAAGAUAUUGUAAAAUGAUGAUAAUAUAACUGAAGGGAGCG
rnacentral:lncRNA from 10 species